rnacentral:lncRNA from 1 species
UAGAGGCUGACAUAGCUUCUGCUACAGAUGCACUGCUCUACUAGAUCAUCAUCUGAUCAUCAGGCUUAUUUCAUAUCUAGCUUUCACACAAAUAUGUCUUUAUCAUGUCCUGACUCAGUUUUCAACUUUUAUUCGUCAUGAGAGAGCUGGGGGUUGUUACUUCUUUUCUUCUUUUUCUUUUUCUUUUUCUUUUCUUUUCUUUUCUUUUCUUUUCUUUUUCUCUUUUCCUUUCUAAAAUUUCUCUUGUGCUCCCUUUUUUCGAUGAUGGGAAACACAUAACAUCUUCUUCCCCUUGUUACUUGAUUGCUCUCUCGAUGCGAAACCUGUACUUUUUAAGAUCAUGACGGCAUAUUUGGCAGCUCUUUUCCACUACUCACUUCUGAUGUAAGACAAAAUAUGAGCUUUGAGUGCCUUUGCAUCAGCCCUUCCAUCA